GCCCUCCCAGCUGUUAGCAAUCAGGAGCUGCAGGGGUCAGAGCCGGCACAGAUCCCAAACUAUUCCUUCCCUCGAUGCCUGGCGUGUAUUUUGGACGGCGUUUUUCCAGCUCUUGCCGGGGAAAGAAAAAAGCAACCCCGACAGCCCUUGUGCCUGCCGGCACUGCUGCUGCCAGCGGAGCGAGGGCCGGGUGGAGGUUUUGGGAGAGCUGGGAAAGGAGGAACGCUCUGUGCAGCAAGCGGGCAAGGCUCGGGGGUCACGGCAGAGCUCGCUUCAGUUGCGGUCUUUCUGGGGUUCGUUGGAAGAAAGGCAGCUCCUGUGCCUAUGGUGCUGUGCAAACCAAGGCCCCCAGCACAAGCUCUCUCCUCAGAGGAUGCAAUUACAGCACGCUGUGUUUUUUUCCCCAUUUUGAGGGGAAUAAAUGCCCAGAGGUUCCCUUUAAACCCAGCUUAACUCCUGCCACAGACUACUCCACCAUGCAUUAGCAACCCCAACUAUGAAGUCUGCUCUACGAGACCCCAAAUGCUGCAACACUUGAUAAUAAACCACACUUUGGGUCUUUUUUUUUCCCCCAGGUCACGAUUUCCAAUAAGCCCUUUUCUUAGCCCAAAACAUCUCAAAGUCCCUUUACAAGCCGCACUGUCGGCACACAUGACCGAGGGGGAAAGAAGAUACCCGCACAGAGGGAUCUGCAAAGUUCUGCCCUUUAAUAAAGAAGCAAAAACGAUCUACCACCCCAGGACGGAGUCAAACCCACCACGACCUAGCCCCUUAAGGACCACAACACAAGGCGGGUGCUUUCCCAAAGAGAUUCGUCUAAUCCCACCCACGUCAACGCUCACAAGUUGGGUUACUCCCGCGGACGUGUCACCGCGGGGCUGCGCCACGCUCCUCGCCGGCAGCGCUGGGAAGGGCUCCGCGACCCUCACCCACACCAGCCCCCAGGCGAUUCCGGAGGAAAACACUCUGGGAAGCGGCUCGUCUGCCUCAAAAUGCAUCUUACGGCACGGGCGGGAAUGUCAGUGCGGGCAGAGAGACUUGGCAGGCAUCGGUGGGCCGUUGCCUGCCGCCGGCAAGGGCAGCCAGGAAGGAAAAGGGCGGGAGCCUGCCGAUUUCUAGGAGCGGUACCGGCGGAGCGGGACUUGAAGCCACGGUGCGGGCAAGCGGGACGAGCGUGCAGCGGGACACACGGCAUGCACGGCCGGCGGAGGGGAAAGCCAGGAGAGAAAUACCCGGCGGCACCGCCGCCCCGCUACUCACAGCGUCCGGGGACCCGCGCUCCGCGCCUCGCCGCCGGCCGGGUUAAAGCUCCCGGGGCCGGACUGGUGUAAACAACCUCCCCACAUGCUCGGCCCCUUCCUGCGCAUUGGUUCCGCGGCUGCCUUUAAAUGCACGCCCCCGGGCCCGGCCUUGCCGCUCCCGCUGGCUUGUAUCGCACCAGCCCGGCGGAUGCCGCCGCUCUCCGCCCGCCUACCGCAGGGGCAAGGCAAGGGGGACGGUGGGCGCUCCCCUCUGGCUCCCCUCGCUCUGAGCGGGCCAGCUUCUGCCCGACGGGGGAGAAAGGCAGGCAGGCACCGCGCCCUAGUCCCCGCCGGGGCUCUCCGCCGCACCCGGAGCUCUGCUGUUUUACUCAAGGGACCAGGCUCUCGGUCACCCUCCUGCCUUGAGCGAUGGGGCUCUGUCAC